GACACUCACUCACUCACUCUCUCUGCCGCCGCAGCCCAGCCACUGCGGCUCCUCUAUCUCGCUCUCUCUCUCGGCAUAACCUGCCACACCAGGAACCCCCCCUCCCCCUCCUCUAUCCAUCCAUCCCACCCGCAUCACAUCACAGAAAGAAGACCAGAACGCUGAUCACCCGAUACAUUGUAUCGCUCAGAGGCAACGCAUCAAAAAAGAGAUACAUUCUCAGUGUAACAAAAAAAAAGAAACGUUUUUGUUUUGCUACACGAGAUUGAAUUCCACCCCCCCCCCCUCCUCCUCGCUUCUCCCGCUUCACAGUGUGUGCCGGCUUGUUUCUCGUGUGAGGGAAGAUCUUUUAUUUCCACCUCACUUGUCCUUCCUCUACCUUCCUCCUUCCUCUCCCCCCUCCACCCCCCUCCACUCCACCACCUCCUCCUCCUCCUUCCCCUCUCCGGAGCAGUUGAAGGAAGGAAACCUGGAGUGGCACCAUGGAGAAUGCUCACACGAAGACCGUGGAUGAAGUUUUAGCCCAUUUUAACGUCAACGAGACGACGGGUCUGAGCCUGGAGCAAGUGAAGAAACACAAGGAGAGAUGGGGACCUAAUGAACUACCGGCGGAAGAAGGCAAAUCGUUAUGGGAGCUGGUGAUGGAACAAUUUGAAGAUUUGUUGGUCAGAAUUCUACUCUUGGCAGCUUGCAUAUCAUUUGUUCUGGCCUGGUUUGAAGAAGGUGAAGAAACUGUGACUGCCUUUGUGGAGCCCUUUGUAAUAUUAUUAAUUCUAAUAGCAAACGCUAUUGUUGGUGUUUGGCAGGAAAGAAAUGCAGAAAAUGCGAUUGAAGCCCUUAAAGAAUAUGAACCGGAAAUGGGAAAGGUUUAUCGACAAGACAGAAAGAGUGUACAACGGAUUAAGGCCAGAGAUCUUGUCCCUGGAGAUAUUGUGGAAGUUGCAGUUGGCGACAAGGUCCCUGCUGACAUCAGACUGACUGCAAUCAAGUCAACAACCUUAAGAGUAGAUCAAUCUAUUCUAACAGGUGAAUCUGUGUCGAUCAUCAAACACACCGACCCCGUUCCUGACCCUCGUGCAGUGAAUCAGGAUAAAAAGAACAUGCUCUUUUCAGGUACAAAUAUCGCAGCUGGUAGGGCAAUUGGGGUUGCUGUUGCUACUGGUACGAGCACAGAAAUUGGCAAAAUCCGCGAUGAGAUGGCAGCAACUGAACAGGAGAGGACUCCUCUGCAGCAGAAACUCGAUGAGUUUGGUGAACAACUCUCCAAGGUUAUUUCGCUGAUCUGCAUUGCGGUUUGGAUCAUAAACAUUGGCCACUUCAACGACCCCGUCCACGGUGGCUCCUGGAUUCGCGGCGCCAUCUACUAUUUCAAAAUUGCGGUGGCUUUGGCAGUGGCUGCAAUACCCGAAGGUUUGCCGGCUGUUAUAACUACCUGCCUGGCCCUUGGCACAAGGCGCAUGGCAAAGAAGAAUGCGAUUGUGCGGAGUCUGCCGUCCGUUGAGACACUGGGCUGCACUUCGGUUAUCUGCUCUGACAAAACCGGCACUCUCACAACUAACCAGAUGUCCGUCUGCCGGAUGUUCAUUGUCGACAAAGCUGAAAACGACAAGUGUUCCCUGAAGGAAUUUACUGUCAGUGGCUCCACAUACAGCCCCGAGGGAAUAGUGGAAUUGGAUAACAAAGUGAUCAAGUGUUCUGAAUACGAUGGCCUGAUUGAGUUAGCAACCAUAUGUUCACUUUGCAAUGACUCUUCUUUGGAUUUUAAUGAGACCAAAGGAAUCUAUGAGAAAGUCGGGGAAGCUACGGAGACCGCACUGUGUUGCCUGGCGGAGAAAAUGAAUGUGUUUGACACAGACUUAAAGAGUCUAACCAAGAUCGAACGUGCCAAUGCUUGCUGCUCGGUCAUCAGGCAACUGAUGAAGAAAGAGUUCACUCUGGAAUUUUCAAGAGAUCGGAAGUCCAUGUCAGCGUACUGUACUCCUAACAAGCCCACUCGAUCGUCCGCGGGCAACAAGAUGUUUGUGAAGGGUGCACCCGAGAGUGUGAUUGACAGAUGUACUUAUAUUCGUGUUGGAACUACGAAGGUUCCCCUCACUAAGGGCAUCAAGGAGAAGAUUCUGGGUGUUGUGAAAGACUGGGGAUCUGGCAGGGACACCCUGCGAUGUCUGGCUCUGGCCACACGAGAUAAUCCGAUCAGGAGGGAAGAUAUGAAUUUGGAAGAAUCAUCAAAUUUCCUUAAAUAUGAGGUGGACCUCACGUUUGUAGGUUGUGUUGGUAUGCUUGACCCACCAAGAACAGAGGUGGCUGCUUCUAUCAAGAUGUGCAAGCACGCCGGCAUCCGUGUCAUCAUGAUCACCGGGGAUAACAAAGGCACUGCUGUAGCCAUUUGCAGGCGCAUUGGUAUCUUUGGAGAAAGGGAAGAUGUGGACAAAAAGGCUUUUACUGGCCGUGAGUUUGAUGAACUUUCCCUGGCGGAUCAGAGAGAAGCUUGCUUAACUGGUCGCUGUUUUGCUCGAGUAGAACCUUCCCACAAGUCCAAGAUUGUGGAGUUUUUGCAAGGAUUUGAUGAAAUCACUGCUAUGACUGGUGAUGGUGUGAAUGACGCACCGGCCUUAAAGAAGGCAGAGAUUGGAAUUGCCAUGGGAUCUGGUACAGCCGUAGCAAAAUCUGCCUCUGAGAUGGUACUGGCAGAUGACAACUUCUCAACUAUCGUAGCGGCAGUGGAGGAAGGCCGCGCUAUCUACAACAACAUGAAACAAUUCAUUCGCUACCUCAUCUCUUCCAAUGUUGGGGAAGUAGUUUGCAUUUUCCUAACAGCAGCUGUUGGCUUUCCUGAGGCUUUGAUCCCUGUACAACUUCUGUGGGUGAAUCUGGUGACUGAUGGACUGCCUGCCACCGCUCUAGGUUUCAAUCCACCUGAUCUGGACAUCAUGGACAAGCCACCACGCAGCCCCAAGGAGCCGCUGAUUAGUGGCUGGCUCUUCUUUCGCUACAUGGCGAUUGGAUGUUAUGUGGGAGCUGCCACAGUUGGAGCUGCUGCCUGGUGGUUUAUAGCUGCUGAGGAUGGACCUAGGAUUACUUACUACCAGCUGAGCCAUUUUUUGCAAUGCAGUGCAGAUAAUCCGGAAUAUGAUGGCAUUGAUUGUACAAUAUUUGAAUCCCCUUAUCCCAUGACAAUGGCACUCUCUGUCUUGGUGACCAUUGAGAUGUGUAAUGCUCUUAACAGUUUAUCGGAGAAUCAGUCACUCCUGAAGAUGCCUCCUUGGGAGAAUGUUUGGUUAUUGGGUUCAAUUUGCCUGUCAAUGUCACUUCAUUUCCUCAUCUUAUAUGUGGAGCCACUACCGCUCAUCUUCCAAAUCACACCAUUAGAUGUAACGCAGUGGCUGAUGGUGCUGAAAAUCUCUCUACCUGUCAUUCUGCUGGAUGAGACACUCAAAUUUAUUGCUCGUAACUACCUUGAACCGGGUAAAGAGUAUACUCUGCAUAGUGGCAAACAGUGUGGUUUCUCAGCAUACACAGAGGGGAUAUCCUGGCCAUUUGUGAUCAUUUCUCUGCCUCUGGGUAUCUGGCUAUACAGCACAGACACUAAUUUUGCUGAAAUGUUCUGGUCUUGACUGAACUAGAUCUGUCGUGGAAUAGUCUCAAGGAAAAGACAUGGCAUUUGAUUAAUAUUACCAAAAUUUUUAUCAUUUAAACACCUGAUUCCAAGAGUCUGUUUCUGCUGAAUUUCAUAUGACCCAUGUAUGGAUGAAGUUAAUAUUUUUUCCUGAGCUCAAAUGAAACGGGAUUGAUUUUUACACAAUUUAAGAAAAACAUUUAAAAAAAAUUAAGCUGUGCAUUGCGUGUGUACAGAGAUUAAUACUAUUUUCUGUAGUAUUUUGUUUUUGUAGAUGAAACGGCAUGUACAAAUGUGUUCUGUUUACUAAUUUGUUCAUCUUUUGUGUAUAAAUUAAGAACCAGUAAGCUACGGAUGUAUUUUUUUUGGCUGCGGAUAUGGAACAAUUACUUGAGAAUGUUAAAUUCUUUGGAAAAAUUUUAAAAAUAAUUCCAUAGGUUGUCACCUCAUGGCUAUUUUCGUUGGGUUCUGUUUUAGUCUUUGUGCCUUCUGUCAUUUGAUUUUUUAUUUUUAUUUACUCCAAACUUCUUAAUUUCUGCCCUCAGCAGACUACUGCUACCUCAGCCUGCUAUUUGUUUUAUUUCUCAUAAUCAUUCCUGUAUUCCCGGCUCUGUCAUGUUUACAGUCCAAACGUGCUUGAGGUAUGCUCAUUUCUCCCUGUGCAGAACACACUAUUUCACCACCCCUUGCCCACCCCACCCCACCCCUCCCCUCCCACCACUCCCUCACCCAGCCUCUUAUUGCUUUAUUUUUUUUCUCUCUCUCCCAGUAAGUCUAAGGAGUAUUUAUUUAAAGCACUAAUUGUAUAUUGUAAUGGUCUUAGCAGAUUUCUUUACGUUUUUUUUUGCCACUUCAACUUGGAUGUCGAGGGUUAAUGCACAUGUCGAGAGAAAAAUAAAAUGUGUUGGACUGAGAGAGGAAUUUCUCAAUGUCUCUUUUACUAGGCUGGUUCAUUUAGUUCCUUCAAAUGCAAAACAAUAGCCCUGAAUCUUAGGCCUUAUUUGUUAGACUCUUAAUUUUCACAUAAAUUUGAACAAGGUUUGAAGAAAUAUUUUACUCGUGCUCAUUUGAAAACUCUUAAGUAGCCGAAAGCUGAUUAUGUUUAGACACUGAAGCAGAACACAAAUAUGCCACAGCGAUAUUUUAAACCUAGAACAUGUAAACGCAAGCUGUUAGUAGCACACAGCCAAAUACUCAUUUGACAUAAUGUAUAGAACUAAAAGUAAAUUUUAACAUACUAUCAUCAUACUAACUUAUUACAGCUGUAAUAAUCUAAAUGUUGGAUAAUAGUGUUCAAAAGCAUGUUUUCUAAAGUGAAAUUUAAGUGAGGUGGUUUUUACAUGUGUUAACAAGCCUAACAAACAGUGUUUUCUUCACUGCCUUCCAAAACCCAUCAAUUAAACUAUGGAAGAUGAAGAGGAGAAGUAAUUCCGUUAUAUAAAAAUUUUCAGAAAACUAAGGUUCUUUUGUUAUUGCGUGCAUGUGUGUUUUUAAGCACAACUACCAAGACCAUUGCAUGUAUAAUGUGCAACAAUAGUAUGCUAUUUGGAGGAAAAGUGUGUUUAAAAUAUAGGACUUCAGAGAAACCUACUCUGAAUUUGUGCAAUACAUCCUCAUGAACUUUACAGUACUCCCAGAGAAGAUAUGUUCUUUGCUAAGACGAUGACUCACAAUCGCGGAGGACCCUCGAUCUAUGUGUAAAAUUUUAUUGAAUUUAUAAAUUGUACAUUAUGGAAAUGCACUCCUUCUGUUAGGUAACAGAGUCUGUGUAUUAGGUCAUCGGGACAAAGAACUACUUUAUAAAAAUGGCUAUGUACAAAUGCAAAUAUAUUUAUGAAAAACUUAGAGAAAAGAUACAAAUCAUGAAUGUUUGAACUGUAAAUGACAUCCUGUAGGUUAACAAUUUCAUAACUUCAAUGUAUUUUUUUCUAAGGAAAGUUUUUUUCUUCUCUUCGAUGUGAGGCAAAGUGAGAGAAUUCCCUCUUGCACUGUAAUUUAACAAUUUUAAGUUGUAUUGCAUUAACAGAACUGUUAGUGCAUUAGGAAUAUUGUGAUGCAGAUAUAACAAGAACCUUUCAGUUGCCAGAACACAGCAUGUUUAAUGUUGAAAACUGUAAAUAAGAUCUUAUGUUUAUUUCAGUGCUGACAUUGUAACAUGCUACACACACAUUUCGUAAAUUCAGGUAAAUAAAGUUACUCUACAUGA